rnacentral:lncRNA from 1 species
AUUUCUUAUUCUGACAAAGCCGUUUCGAGAGUAACAGACAUGCAUAUUUUGGGAUCCUGCUUAUGUUACGUUUUACCUAUUUUUAUGUUACUUAUGUUUAUCAAUGAUGUUGUUGGAGUUAUUCCACCUGGAUAUUUCAAUUGCUUCACUGUCAACAAUACAGUAACGUAUAACGCAACAAGAAUUCCUACAGAAGCUGCUGAACGCUUAAUCAAUAGUGGAAAACCGAAGUCAACAGAUAAGAUGCCCCAGGCUCCAAGGGACAUCUAUUCAAAAAUGGAUGGCAGCACCCCUGUGAUAACAUGGUCCGCAGACCCAAAAGUUUUGUAUGGAUUAGAAUACCUAAGACAUAUUUUGCUGAAGAUAGUUCAGUCUUUUACGCAUAAUGGAACUUUUAUGGAAGACGAGUACAUUCUCCUAAAUGUAUCAGGGAAAAGCGCUAUAGG